rnacentral:lncRNA from 1 species
UAUUGUAAAUUUUCCAGCAAAAUACUAAUAUUCUCCAGCUCCCAAUCAUUAAAGUUCCGUCUAAACUGAAGAUGGCACUCAGAGUUAGAAAUACAAUCAGCUACUAUUAUAAUUCAAGAAAUUGGUCUUUGAAUACCCCAACUUCCUGCCAAUGAUCUAACCAAACUAUGUUAUGCUUCAUAUCCCCCGAUUUUAAUCUUGUAAGUUAUUGGAAUUCAACACAAAGAUUACAUAUUUACCUUCAUAAAGUUGUCCUAUUAGGCAUGGAUAUAGAACAUGAUUGAGAGUCCAAUGAUUCUCCUUUCCGUACUUUGUGACAAUGACUAUGUUCAGAUGCAAAACUUCCAUUGCCUUUCGUCCCCGCCUCAACUAUAUCAUAUAUUCCGGCAAUCACCAUAAGCGUAGGCUUUAGACAUGUACCAGAAAAAGAAGCCAUUGAUGUCUCUCCAUCUAUCAAUCAACUUAUACACAAAUGUAUGAAUUGAAAAUUAAUGCACAUUACAAUUACAUAAGGAAAUUUUUUGAGGUUAUCAUUAUUACUGAAUACACCUGGAGGCCAUUAGCUUCUCUCUUUGUUAAGUUAUGUAAUCAUGAUUGAAGGAAAGAUAUGGUAUUCUUAUCAACAUAACACAUACCUUAACUCCUAAUUUUGAUAACCUCAAAACUUCUCACACCCAAUACAAUCAGACAAAGAAAUAUUAUUCAGGUAAAUAAUAUAGCCAAAUAAUAAAUUUUGGAGUGUUAGAACGGCACCUACCUUAUUUAAGUUGGAGCAGUACUCCAAGCCUUGUCCAGAAAUCUCUCGUGGACUUGUUGAAGCAAAACUCCUGC